UGGGGGGGCCCGAAGUCGCUAAGCUAACCGUAAGGAGGCGAGUGCCUAAGGUAUGGGGGAUGAUUGGGGUGAAGUCGUAACAAGGUAGCUGUAGGUGAACCUGCAGAAGGAUCA
rnacentral:rRNA from 1 species